rnacentral:sRNA from 1 species
UCGUGUUAAGGAUAGAAGCGGCAUCCUUUUGCUUUUGGGCAAAAGAUAUAGCGGAUAGCCUGACUUUUU